GACGAACGCUGGCGGCGUGCUUAACACAUGCAAGUCGAACGGACAGGCCCUGCUUUUGUGGGGUGCUCGAGUGGCGAACGGGUGUGUAUCACGUGAGUAACCUGCCCUUGACUUUGGGAUAACUUCAGGAAACUGGGGCUCAUACCGGAUAGGAGCUCCUGCUGCACGGUGGGGGUUGGAAAGUUUCGGCGGUUGGGGAUGGACUCGCGGCUUAUCAGCUUGUUGGGGGGGUAGUGGCUUACCAAGGCUUUGACGGGUAGCCGGCCUGAGAGGGUGACCGGCCACAUUGGGACUGAGAUACGGCCCAGACUCCUACGGGAGGCAGCAGUGGGGAAUAUUGCACAAUGGGCGGAAGCCUGAUGCAGCAACGCCGCGUGCGGGAUGACGGCCUUCGGGUUGUAAACCGCUUUCGCCUGUGACGAAGCGUGAGUGACGGUAAUGGGUAAAGAAGCACCGGCUAACUACGUG
rnacentral:rRNA from 1 species